AGACGGGGGGCGCAAGCGUUGUUCGGAAUUACUGGGCGUAAAGGGCGCGUAGGUGGUUAGGUCAGUCGGAUGUGAAAGCCCCGGGCUCAACUCGGGAAUUGCAUUCGAUACUGCCUGGCUUGAGUAUGGUAGAGGGAAGUGGAAUUCCGGGUGUAGCGGUGAAAUGCGUAGAUAUCCGGAGGAACACCAGUGGCGAAGGCGGCUUCCUGGACCAAUACUGACACUGAGGCGCGAAAGCGUGGGGAGCAAACAGGAUUAGAUACCCCGGUAGUCC
rnacentral:rRNA from 1 species